CAGUCUGUGUGCAAUGAAUAAAUAUAAUGUACAAGUUACACCUUUUGAAUGCAAUUACUGAAAUAAAUCAAGUUUUUCAAAAUAUUGUAAUUUACUGGCUUUUACCUGUAUAUGGAGCCAUAAAGGUGUGGCCAUAUAUAAAAUACAGUACAAGUAUAUUUUCUUCUGAUCUUCAAUCCCGUCAUGAAAAGCAAACAAUAUUUUUGUCUUCUGCCUUUUUUAAACCGGUCUUUUUUUAUUUUAUUACUCUUGUUCUGUACGGAAACCGAGCUGGAUGAAACUGCAACCUCCACAUGAUUUAAGUUAUACAACUUUUAUACAAUUUCAUCUUGUUUGUGUGCCUCAAAGCCAAGCAUGCAGUUUGAACAACAACAACAACAACAUUAUUUACAGUCGAGCUCCCCUCCUCUGCACCUCACACACUCAUUCAAGUACAGUCACAUGACAUGGGGGCUGGGCGCGCCCCCUGGUGGAUGGGAGGGGGAAGACAGUGGUACAAAUAUGUUACUAUGGAAAGAGUUAUUUUAUUAUUCUAUGACUAAUACGUUGUGACCUGUGGAGUAACUUCCAAUAAACAAAUAUAGAUAUUA